rnacentral:rRNA from 1 species
UUAAAAGCUCGUAGCCGACUCUCGGGGCUGUCGCAACGGUCCGCAGAAAUGUGAGCACUGUUGCGGCCGCCUCUUCCUUCUGGACACCAUGUCUUCUCUUUACUGAGCGGAUGUGGGGGCCAGAUCGUUCACCUUGAACAAAUUAGAGUGUUCAAAGCAGGCCUCCGCCUGAAUACUUGAGCAUGGAAUGAUAUUCAAUAGGUUCUCCCUUCUCGUUUAUUGGUGAUGAGAAGGAAGAAAAUGAAAAAGGGGAAUGGUUGGGGCCAUUCGUACUGCAGCGUUAGAAGUGAAAUUCUUGGAU